rnacentral:rRNA from 1 species
GUCUACGGCCAUGCCACUCUGAACAAGCUUGAUCCUAUCUGAUCUCGGAAGCUAAGCAGGGUUGGGCCUGGUUAGUACUUGGAUGGGAGACCACCUAGGAAGACAAUGUGAAUAGGUG